rnacentral:rRNA from 1 species
GACGGAGGAUGCAAGCGUUGUCCGGAUUUAUUGGGUUUAAAGGGUGCGUAGGCGGCUCUGUAAGUCAGUGCUGAAAUAUCCCGGCUUAACUGGGAGGGUGGCAUUGAUACUGUGGAGCUAGAGUACAGAUGAGGUAGGCGGAAUUGACGGUGUAGCGGUGAAAUGCUUAGAUAUCGUCAAGAACACCUAUAGCGAAGGCAGCUUACUAGGCUGUAACUGACGCUGAGGCACGAAAGUGUGGGGAUCAAACAGG